ACCCCGCUACGGGUCCCCCAUCUAUCAUCUCCCCACUCACACAUGCUAUCCCACACCGCUACCUUUCUCUGCUCUUUCCCCUCCAGUCCUCCACCCCUGCUGACUCCGUUGCUGUGCAUUCCUGCCAAAGCUUCCCCGCCGAAUUCCCCAACCUCCCGCCGGAUUCGCCCAGCUCGUCGACUCCGGAGUCCGAUUCGUGCACGGAGCAGCGGCCUGGGCCGCCAAUUCGCUCGGUUCGGCGCCGCGCUGAUUCGCUUCGGUACUCUCUUUCUGCUUCCCCCCCUGGAAUGUUUCCGGUGAUUCGCGCGGCAUGAGCUCGGGUUGGAGGUGGUGCCUCUGAUUCCCGCUGGCCCGAGGCGGAGGCGCGAGGGCAUGUGGGUUUCUCUGGUGUGGAUCCGGGGCUGCGUGGGCGUCACGUUCGUCGAUUUCCAGAGCGGGAGGGGAGCCGACUAGAUCUCUCGGCUCCUGCGGUUGCUGCGCUCCGUCGGGAGAGUUACCUGUGACCGGAGAAGGUUGCCGGAGGGUUUUGGGAGGUGAGGGGACAUGGAGGCCGCCAGGUUCGGCGCGCGGAGCAGCCACUUGUACGGCAGCGGGCUGGGCGAGCUUGAUCUCAACAGGCGCGAGAGCAGGGUGUUUGGCUGGGAUCUCAACGAGUGGAGCUGGGACAGUCAGCGGUUUACUGCCACGCCGGUGCCUGUUGAGGCGGCGAAUGGCUCUGGACUGAACAGCUCGCCGUCAUCGUCCGAGGAAGCCGGGGAAGAGAUGGCUAAGAAUGGUGGCUUGGGAGGUGAUACUGACAAGAGGAAAAGGGCCGUGGUCAUUGACGACGACGACGAUGAUGAAACGGAGGAUCAGGACACGGUCGUGAAUGGUGGCGGGUCGCUCAGCCUGAUAAUAGGGGGUAGUGCUGCUGGUGCUGGAGCGAUGGAGAACGGCGAUGUAAAUGAGGAUGAGAGAAAUGGAAAGAAGAUCAGGGUGCAAGGAGGCGGCUCAAGUGGGCCGGCAUGCCAGGUUGAGGGCUGCGGAGCAGAUCUGACUGCAGCGAAGGAUUAUCACCGCCGGCACAAGGUCUGCGAGAUGCAUGCUAAGGCCACCACCGCCGUGGUCGGAAACACUGUCCAGAGGUUCUGCCAGCAAUGCAGUAGAUUUCACCUUCUUCAAGAAUUUGAUGAAGGGAAGCGAAGUUGCCGUCGACGCUUAGCAGGCCACAAUAAACGGAGGAGAAAAACCCGCCCUGAUACUGCAAGUUGUGGGACUGCUUCAAUUGAGGACAAAAUCAGCAAUUAUCUACUGUUGAGCCUUAUUGGAAUCUGUGCUAAUUUGAACUCUGAUAAUGUUCAGCAUUCAAAUGGCCAGGAGUUGCUAUCCACUCUUUUGAAGAACCUAGGGUCUGUUGCCAAAUCACUGGAGCCAAAAGAACUAUGUAAACUCCUGGAGGCAUACCAAAGCCUGCAAAAUGGAUCAAAUGCUGGAACCUCUGGAACAGCUAAUGCCACAGAAGAGGCUGCAGGGCCAUCUAACUCUAAGUUGCCUUUCGUGAAUGGUAGUCAUUGUGGACAUGCAUCAUCAUCUGUUGUGCCAGUACAGUCGAAGGCUACCAUAGUGGUAACUCCAGAGCCCGCAUCAUGCAAGCUUAAGGAUUUUGAUCUGAAUGACACUUGCAAUGAUAUGGAAGGCUUUGAGGAUGGACAAGAAGGUUCACCUACACCUGCCUUUAAGACAGCUGACUCUCCUAAUUGUGCAUCAUGGAUGCAACAAGAUUCUACUCAAAGUCCACCGCAGACUAGUGGCAACUCAGAUUCAACAUCAACACAAUCAUUGUCAAGCUCAAAUGGAGACGCUCAGUGCCGAACUGAUAAGAUUGUCUUCAAGCUUUUUGACAAAGUUCCCAGUGAUUUACCCCCAGUUUUGCGGUCACAGAUUCUUGGUUGGUUGUCAAGUAGCCCUACUGAUAUAGAGAGCCAUAUUAGACCUGGGUGUAUUAUUCUAACAAUAUAUCUACGGUUAGUUGAGUCUGCAUGGCAAGAGCUUUCUGAGAAUAUGAGCCUGCACCUGGAUAAGCUUUUGAGUAGCUCCACUGACAACUUUUGGGCAUCUGGCUUGGUAUUUGUGAUGGUUCGGCGUCGCUUAGCUUUUAUGCUCAAUGGUCAAAUUAUGUUGGACAGACCCCUGGCACCCAGUUCUCAUCAUUACUGCAAGAUUUUAUGUGUCAAACCUGUUGCUGCACCUUAUUCUGCAACAAUAAAUUUCAGAGUCGAAGGAUCUAAUCUACUCAGUACUUCCUCAAGGCUAAUUUGUUCAUUUGAAGGACGUUGUAUAUUCCAGGAAGACACAGACUCUGUAGCAGAAAAUGAUGAGUAUGAGGAUAGGGCCAUCGAAUGCCUCAGUUUUUGUUGUUCCGUUCCUGGUCCAAGAGGAAGAGGAUUUAUAGAGGUUGAAGAUAGUGGUUUUAGCAAUGGCUUCUUCCCCUUCAUAAUUGCUGAGAAAGACAUAUGCUUUGAGGUUUCUGAGCUGGAGAGCAUAUUUGAGUCCUCCAGUAUCGAACAUGCAGAUGCUAAUGAUAAUGCCAGGGAACAAGCUCUGGAGUUUCUAAAUGAGCUGGGUUGGCUUCUUCACAGAGCGAACAGAAUGUCUAAAGAGAAUGUAACUGAUACAUCUGUAGCUACCUUUAGCAUGUGGAGAUUCAGGAAUCUUGGUGUAUUUGCCAUGGAGCGGGAGUGGUGUGCUGUGAUCAAAAUGCUGUUAGAUUUCUUAUUUAUUGGCCUUGUCGAUGUGGGAUCCCGAUCUCCAGAAGAGGUGGUGCUUUCAGAAAAUUUGUUGCAUGCUGCUGUACGGAGGAAGUCUGUUAACAUGGUUAGAUUUCUGCUGAGAUACAGACCAAACAAAAACUCCAAGGGGACUGCACAGACAUACUUAUUUAGACCUGAUGCUCUGGGCCCGUCAAUGAUUACCCCCCUCCAUAUAGCAGCUGCCACUAGUGAUGCAGAGGAUGUGUUGGAUGUGCUGACCGAUGAUCCUGGACUGGUAUUCUAUUUCUAGUUCUUGGAAUUUUACCUCUUAUUUUCCACCACCUCAAGCUGAGCUAUAUUAAUUUACAACAAUUGGAAUUAGUGCUUGGAGCAAUGCACGGGACGGAACAGGUUUUACCCCAGAAGAUUAUGCUCGGCAGAGAGGCAAUGAUGCUUACCUGAAUCUGGUCCAAAAGAAGAUUGAUAAGCAUCUUGGCAAAGGCCGUGUUGUCCUCGGUGUUCCGAGCAGUAUAUGCUCUGUAAUAACUGAUGGUGUUAAGCCUGGCGAUGUUAGCCUCGAGAUCUGCAUGCCAAUGUCUGCAUCAGUGCCAGGUUGCCUCCUCUGCAGCCGUAAGGCACGGGUGUAUCCGAAUUCUACAUCGAGGACCUUCCUUUACAGGCCAGCGAUGUUGACUGUGAUGGGAGUUGCUGUGGUCUGUGUCUGCGUGGGCAUACUCCUCCAUACCUUUCCCAGGGUUUAUGCCGCGCCCACAUUCAGAUGGGAGUUGCUGGAGCGUGGACCCAUGUAAGUUUUAGGAUGAGCCUUAGCUGUUGUUUGUAACUUGUAAGUUGAGAGUUUUAGCGUUGUGGCUAAGAUCAAAGGAACAUGAUUACCGUGUGAAGAAGUUCAUCUGUGUUUAACGCAAGAUGCUGUUGCGGCUGUAAGCUUUAUAUACAUCGUCGAUUUCAACUAUAUUUACAGCCUAUCAUGCUCCCAUUCCAUUCA